rnacentral:rRNA from 1 species
ACUUGAUUCUGGCUCGGGACGAACGCUGGCGGCGCGCCUAACACAUGCAAGUCGAGCGGGAAGCUUUUUAAGGAUUCUUCGGAUGAAUUAAAAAGUGGAGAGCGGCGGACGGGUGAGUAACGCGUGAGAAACCUGCCCUAUACAGGGGGAUAGCCAUUGGAAACGAUGAUUAAUACCCCAUAUGACCACAGUAUCGCAUGAUACAGCGGUGAAAACUCCGGUGGUAUAGGAUGGUCUCGCGUCUGAUUAGCUAGUUGGUGGGGUAACGGCCUACCAAGGCGACGAUCAGUAGCCGGCCUGAGAGGGUGACCGGCCACACUGGAACUGAGACACGGUCCAGACUCCUACGGGAGGCAGCAGUGGGGAAUAUUGCACAAUGGGCGAAGGCCUGAUGCAGCGACGCCGCGUGAACGAUGAAGGCUUUCGAGUCGUAAAGUUCUGUUCUUGGGGAAGAUAACGACGGUACCCAAGGAGAAAGCACCGGCUAAAUACGUGCCAGCAGCCGCGGUA